rnacentral:rRNA from 1 species
CAGCAGCCACGGUAAAACGUAGGUGGCAAGCGUUGUCCGGAAUUAUUGGGCGUAAAGGGCUCGCAGGCGGUUUCUUAAGUCUGAUGUGAAAGCCCCCGGCUCAACCGGGGAGGGUCAUUGGAAACUGGGAAACUUGAGUGCAGAAGAGGAGAGUGGAAUUCCACGUGUAGCGGUGAAAUGCGUAGAGAUGUGGAGGAACACCAGUGGCGAAGGCGACUCUCUGGUCUGUAACUGACGCUGAGGAGCGAAAGCGUGGGGAGCGAACAGGAUUAGAUACCCAGUAGUCCCUGUCUCUUAUACC